UUUAUUGGAGAGUUUGAUCCUGGCUCAGGAUGAACGCUGGCGGCGUGCCUAAUACAUGCAAGUCGAGCGAAUGGAUUAAGAGCUUGCUC
rnacentral:rRNA from 2 species